rnacentral:lncRNA from 1 species
GUUAUAUCUAUUUUACUAUGUACCUUUGGUGGAUGAAGCGAUUCACAAUUGAACACAACUGAACCAGCAACUUAUUUAUGGAUGACAGACACUGUCACUGAUGGCUGGUUUUGGUUGCAGAGGGUAGUGACUCGUAGUCAACCAGGGGAAGAGUUUUUCUGCACAUGUGCACGUUCUAGUACUCAAGAUGAUGCAUGAAACAGAUUAAAGAAUAAGCCUCGAGGGAAGAGCUCCCUUGUGAUGAAGAAAGAAUGCUACUCUUAAAUGAGAUGCUUAGCAUCAAGUCACUGAAUCCCAGAAUCAUCAAGGCUGAAAGAGACCUUCAAGAUCAUCCAGUCCAAGCAUCAACCCAGCACCACCAUAAUUACCUCUGUACCACAUCCCCAAGUGCCCCAGCCAGACACCUCUCCAACACUUCCAGAGACAACGGCUGCACCACCUCCCUGGGCAACCUGAAGCAGGGAAACAUCUUUGAGGGACUAGAUGGACUUGCGAGAAUACCAAGAUUACUAUUGAUAUUUUCAUCAUUUAAAUGGAAAAGCAGGCUCUCAAAUUACUCUCUGCCUUGGCACAGAGUUAGAAACUGUAAAAUCUGUCCAUGAGGCUGUUUUGUGACAACAGCUGGAGAGCUGACAUUUGUGCUGUUCCUCAGCUUGACACCUUGGGAUCGCUUGAUCCCACGUAGCUGCUCAUGGGUCAGGUGUUCUCUACAGGCUCGUUACAUCAAAAUAUGUUAGAGAAAAAGGUAAUGAUGUAUGUUUUAGCCUUUUCCAUCAGGCUGUCCAGUGCACUCUUUUUAGAGGUCAUUUGAAAGCAGUGUGCAAAAUAAAUAGAGCCACAUAACACUGUGCA